rnacentral:rRNA from 1 species
UGGGGAAUAUUGCACAAUGGGCGCAAGCCUGAUGCAGCCAUGCCGCGUGUAUGAAGAAGGCCUUCGGGUUGUAAAGUACUUUCAGCGAGGAGGAAGGUGUUGUGGUUAAUAACCACAGCAAUUGACGUUACUCGCAGAAGAAGCACCGGCUAACUCCGUGCCAGCAGCCGCGGUAAUACGGAGGGUGCAAGCGUUAAUCGGAAUUACUGGGCGUAAAGCGCACGCAGGCGGUCUGUCAAGUCGGAUGUGAAAUCCCCCGGGCUCAACCUGGGAACUGCAUCCGAAACUGGCAGGCUAGAGUCUUGUAGA